rnacentral:tRNA from 1 species
CCUCCCGUAGUUCAACGGAUAGAAUACGAGCUUCCGAAGCUUGCGAUGUAGGUUCGAUUCCUGCCGGGAGGACAA